AGAAUUUUUGAGGAUUUUGAUACGAGAUGGUGAACGCCACUAAAGGAUUGUUCGUCUCUUGCUUUUCUCUUUUGGGUGUUAGUCUUGACCUUUUUUGUACUGGUAGCUCCAAUGGAGGGUAUGGUCAUCACAGAUUGACAAUAAUGUUUUUGAGUUGAAAGUGAGGCCUUGAUUAUGAA